UUUCGUUUCUUGUACACUUGUUUUGUGUUAAUCGCAAUUUGAGUUUUGGUCUGCUUCAGGGAAUUACUAAUUUUAGUUUAAUUAAGUUUUUUUCCUUACAAAGGUUGCCUAGAAGAGAUCGCUUGUUAUCCCUUAUAAUUUGUGGGGACUGGGGACAGCUGCCGAAUUGUGCAAUUGACGAAUCGUGCGGCAGUUGUCUCCGCGCCCCGUUGCUUGUUAGACGGGUGAUCAAUAACAUAAUAUAAGUAAAUAACAGGCAUUUAUAUUAUAUAUUACAAUUGCGCGUUCGAUUUAAUCCUGGCCCACGAGGAGGCGACACAAUAUAUUUUUAUAUAUAUUUAUUAAUUCUGCGAUUAUGGAUAAACAACAUCUCUAUGAUGGGAGAGACGUCAAAGAGGAUAUUACCAUGGCUACAAAUCAACUACAAUUUGUGGAGACCAAGCCUUCCUUUAUGGCAAACCUGCUCGGCCCAGAAACUUCCACAAUAACAUGUCCCCAUUGUGGUAGUACUGUGAAGACCAGGAUUCGUUAUACAACUACUUCAAGGACACAUAUAGCUGCUGCGAUUUGUUCAUUAAUAUGUUGUUGCUGUUGCAUCCCGUAUUGUUCAAGCUCAGCAAAGAACACGGAUCACUACUGCCCUAAUUGCUUCAAAUACCUUGGCACUUACGAAAAAUAGUGACUAAGUUAAGAGAUUACCUAUGUCAAAAGAAUUAAAUUUGUGCCCGAAACGUAACAUACGAUAUUUACUGCAUCUUUCUUAUUGUACUAAUAUUAUAUAGAUAUUGAAAUGUAAUUAAUGAUUACUAACGUAAAACUGUCUUUCUUUUUUUGGGUAUACAUAUAUUCUUAGCUAAUGUGUUAGUUACAUUAACUAAGAAUAUAUACCCAACUUUCUACAUACACAAAGGUAUAUGUUCAUUAAAGUAAAACGUGGAUCCUUU